CAGUAGCCGCGGGAAUACGAAGGGGGCUAGCGUUGUUCGGAUUUACCGGGCGUAAAGGGCGUGUAGGCGGGCUGAUCAGUCAGGGGUGAAAUCCCAAGGCUCAACCUUGGAACUGCCUUUGAUACUGUCGGUCUUGAGUUCGAGAGAGGUAAGUGGAACUGCGAGUGUAGAGGUGAAAUUCGUAGAUAUUCGCAAGAACACCAGUGGCGAAGGCGGCUCACUGGCUCGAAACUGACGCUGAGGCACGAAAGCGUGGGGAGCAAACAGGAUUAGAUACCCGGGUAGUCCUGUCUCUUAUACC
rnacentral:rRNA from 1 species